rnacentral:tRNA from 1 species
GUUCCGGUAGCUCAGGUGGAUAGAGCGACAGCCUCCGAAGCUGUAGGUCGAUGGUUCGAGUCCAUUCCGGAACGCCA